AUCUAGAACGUCAAAUGAGGAGAUUGAAUAACGUUACUCGGUGUCGUUACUAUAAUAUGUACAAUAUCCAUUCUCCACAACUAUGUAUAUAUCUUCGCAUAUUGUUUUCAGUCUAAUCCAGACAGUGCUCAGCUACUGAAUAGUGACAUCACUGUGUUGGAUUAGACAAGCUGCUGCAAAUAAGUGCGUUAACACAAAUGUGUUGCCUGUUAAAUACAUAUGACAUGUGACACGCCAUUCGCAAAUGUCUUCUCCUAUAUCAAUUAAAUCUAUUGAGUAUUCCGCUAAUUAUCAACGUUUUGACGAUGAUGCGAAUAUAUCACUUGAACCAGAUAUUUCGCAUCGCCCAUGUCCAAGAUAUGGAUCUAUAUUAUCAUCUUCUUCUGCAGAAAAUCACAUGAAUUCUUCUGUGGAGAAUUCAAGAACACCAGAACAAUUUAUUCAGAAAUUUGAUACAGCCGAGGUAGACAGAGAAAAUAUGUCUGAAAAUGCAGUUCUUCCUGCGCAUGAUUCACUUUCAGAUCAUGAUUUACAUUGGGAAAUGAAUUAUCAUGAAGCUGCAAUAUUUUUAGAGGAAGGUAGGAACAAUGAAAAGUUUGACUCUCAUCCAAAGCACCCAGAAGAUUUACCAGCGUAUCUUUUAGUUCAUAAUAAUUGGUAUUAUGGGUUAGAUUUAUUGACCUCUCUUGUACUUCUGGCUUUAGCUUUUGUGGAAGAGCCAGCUGUACCUUUGUUUGGUAUGCCAGUUUGGGCACACGGAUCAAUAGAGCUUUUUGCUUUGAUAAUAAUAGGCAUAGAAUUAGCUUUAAAAUUAAGAUGGAUUGGCUGGUUAACUAUGUUAAAACAUAAACGAACAAUGUUAAAGUGCAUUACAUUAGUCAUCAUGUUUUUGGAAGCUAUGACAGUUUUAGUGCGGCAGUCAUCGCAUUUUCGUGUAACACGUGCUCUGAGGCCUAUAUUUUUAGUAGAUACAAAAUGUUUUGGAGGAGUAAGAAGAUUUAUAAGACAAAUACUUUUAACGUUACCACCGAUUUUAGAUAUGUUAGGGCUGCUUUUAUUUUUUGUUACGCUUUACACAGUCUUGGGUUAUUAUAUGUUCAGUGAAAUGAACAGAAAUUUUUCUACUCUGCAAGACAGUUUUGUGAGCCUAUUUGUCCUUCUCACUACUGCUAAUUUUCCAGAUGUAAUGAUGCCAUCAUAUUCAAAAAAUAAGUGGUAUGCAAUAUAUUUUGUAUCUUACUUAUCCACAAUGUUAUACGUGAUGAUGAAUUUAAUGUUGGCAGUAGUUAACGAAACAUUUACAGCAGCUGAGCGUGAUAAAUUUAAAAAAUUGUUUUUACAUAAAAGAAAAGCAUGUCAGCAUGCAUUUAAGUUGUUAGUUUCCAAACAGAAUCCAGAUAAAAUGCGAUUUCGUCAAUUCGAAGGAUUAAUGCGAUAUUAUGCUCCAACUAGAAGUAUUAGAGAUGUUGUUCUAAUGUUUCGCUACUUAAAUACUUCUGGAAGUGGAGUUUUAAGUGCAGAAGAAUUUUUGAAUAUUUAUGAUACUAUAAUGCUUCAGUGGGAACCGCAGUACUCUGCUGUGCCUUGGUAUCACAGUACGUCACAGCCAUUGCAGAUUCUCUGUACAGGAGCUCAUGCUGCUAUUAGAUGGACCUAUUUCGAAAUUUUAAUGUAUGCAACAAUCGUCGCAAAUGGUAUUGCUAUGAUAGUAAGGAUAUUGGAGCCGAGUGAUACUACUGUCCACAGUACACUUUUAUUUGCUGCAUCUUGGGAUACUUUCCUUUUUGGGGGAAUAUUUGUUACCGAAGCAUUGAUAAAAGUAUUAGGACUUGGCACAAGGCGAUAUCUUAGUUCUGGAUGGAAUCUUUUUGAUUUAGGCACAUCUGUAAUGACGCUUGUCGCAGCUUGUAUUUUAUGUCUAUUUCCUACGGCAACAUUUUUCGUUUUAUUCAGACCACUUAGAAUGUUAAGAUUAUUUAAAAUGAAAAAGAGAUACCGAGAUGUGUUUGGUACUCUAGUUAUUUUAACUCCUUUAAUGUCUUCUACCGCAGUAGUCAUGCUUGUUUUAUAUUAUUUCUUUGCGAUUAUCGGAAUGGAAUUAUUUGCGGGAUAUAAUAUGCGAAAUUGUUGCAAAAACACAACAGUCGAAGAUUUUUAUAAAUAUUCUGUCAAUGAAAGUACCACACUAGGAUAUUAUUAUCUUAAUACUUUUGACAAUCUUAUAGCCAGUGGUAUGACUCUUUUUGAGUUGACAGUUGUUAAUAAUUGGUUUAUUUUAAUGAAUGCAUACGCAUUCACUGUUGGAAUGUAUACAAGAAUCUAUUUUAUGGUAUUCUAUCUGGUGACAAUGAUUGUGUUAACAAUUGUGGUAUCUAGCUUUUUGGAAGCAUUUCGAUUUAGGAUACAUUAUAAGAAAUCAACAUCUAAACGCGAUGAAGAAAAAAUGCUUCAUGAAGAAGUGGAAUUAAAAUGGGAUGAAUUACAAUGCAUGAUCGAAGAUUUUCAAAUUUUAGAAAAAUUACGACCUUCACUCAUAGUUGGUGGAACUACUGCAUUUAUUGGUUCACGGCCUCGAACGCGAGAAGUAUUGCAAAGAAAAAUGUAUACAAAUGAAAUAAACGAAUGGAUUGCAGAAGCAGUACAAACUGAGAGACAAUUUUUGUCAAAUACUUCUCAUAAUUCGGAAGAAGAUUGCACGGAUGAUAUGAUCUCGGAAUCAAAUCAUCUAGGAGUAACAGAAAACUUGUGACACUCAUCUAAUGUUGUAUAAUAAUAGUAAUAAAUUAAACCUAUUUAACAAAUGUAUAUCCGUGCAACAUGCUGAUUUAAAAGGUUGUAACAUAAACCUAAGUAGUACAAAUUACACGCGGUGAUUCGUUGAUCAAUAAUUUGAUCCAGAAUGAUCAUUACCUCAGGUACAAAAUUUAAUUCUCCUAUCUUUUUCUGGAGACG